ensembl:snoRNA SNORA71 Small nucleolar RNA SNORA71
CCUAACCAAACAUGAUCUUUGGCUGCCUGUGCCUCAUUUAUUGGCAGUGCAUGGAGAGGAACAUGGAAGACCUUUUCCCUGUGUUUGCAGGGGCCUCUUUCCAUCGCUUGCAAGCUCAGGAGCUUUCCCACA